UUCCAAAACCAGAUGGAUGCCUUAUGCACCCUCACAUGGAGUCUGCUGUUUGUUCCUGGAGACAAGAGGAAGUUUCUUCUCCUUAUUUAAAAAGGGCAGCACAUCGGUGAAGCUCCCACUAUGCAUGGUGUCUGGGGAAUGGUCAGACCACUUUGGGUCUAACGUACAUAGCCUUACCUUGCAAUUUUUGCAAGAGGCUGUUUCUGUGACUCGAACCCAUGACCUCCAGGUUACACGGUGACAACUUUAUCGUUUGCACCAAGGCUCUGCGUCAUUUCUCAUAAAUCAGUUUGUUCCUCUGUAUUCAAAUGUAUAAAAAAAAUAGGUAGAACAGCAGCAUAAUCUACCAGAAACAUCCAUUCAUAGAUCCCAACAAGCUUGAAAUAAGUAGGAAAUUCAAUGAAAAAGUUGCUUCCUUUAUUUCGCAAAUAUAAUCAUACAUAGCGCUGAUUUCCAUUCAGAGCAAUCAGAAAUAAAGGGACAUCAUAGAAUUAUACCAUGCCUCAAGGUACAUCCACUGAUAUCUUUCAAGGUCAAAUACUAUAUCUCACUCAUGGAAGCUUGGCUGUAGUUUCUGCUCUGCUAACUGAUGGUGAUGAAUGUCUCUCUAGCACCCUUAGCCACAAAGUGCUGCUAUUGUAGUUGCAAUCUGAUUUCAAAAGUAAAUAGUAAAAGAUCCUUUUUACGGAAUGCUAUGGCUAUGAAGAUUAAAGCUGCGCUUUUGGAAUUCUAGGUUACCCCAGUUUUGUCACUUUUUCUGGUUUUUCGCUAUAUUCAGGCCUCGGUUGGCUUAACUGGAGAUUUAUUGGUGAAUGUGAGCCAUACACAUCACAUGUAUUGUAUGAUUUGUGGCAACUGUUUGCUUGAGUCACAUCACUUGCCCUGUAAACCUGACACCAAAGCAUCAUUUUUAUUUAGCCAAAAUAUAGUUUAAAUAAUGCAUAGUCCAACUUAUUUUACACCGACUGAUACUGCAGCACAACUCAGAGAUCGAGAUAUGCAGACAGAUGGCUUGAUGUGGCUAAGUUGGUUGUGACUCCCAGAGGUUUUCUUUGGCUGUAAGUCGCAUAGGGUUAUGGAUGAAAUUAGGCGUUCAUUAGAUUUUUUUUUUUUUAUGGAUAAGAUUGUUGUAGUGUAUAUGUUAGAAUUUCCCUUCAUGGAAUUAUUUUAUAAGAUGGAAAAGUUCUUUGCUCUCUAAUUAGUACCUUGUAUUGUGGUUCUGUGUUUUCGUGGCCAGUGAGAUCCACCUUCAUAUGCAGCUCUCUAUUUUCCUGAUGCAUGAGAGCUCCCUGAAAUAAAUUGAAUUAGUGCUACUUGAUGUGAAAUCGGUGGAAAAGAGUUUUUGGGUAGGAGAUUUCAAACUUCUGUAAAAACCUGUCUGUUAAGUUCUCUUAUUUCUUCGAUCAGAAUUUGAUCCUGCAUGGGGAAACAAUACAGCUAUGUAAGUAUGCAUGCAUGUGGUGCAGAAUUCAAUGGACUUGGAGCCAAUAAGGGGUUGAGCAGGGAUGCACAAAAAGGAAAUUGGUCACACCUUUUUCGCACGAAUACCCUUCAAGCUCAUUUCCAAUUUGUUUUCCAAAUCCUGUAGUUCUUUCACACUGAGACCAGAUAGUUCUUGUCCCAUGAAUUGCCUGCAUAUGUGGAAUGAAGAAAAGAAGUCCACAUUGUUGACUUUUGGUUUGAUGCA